rnacentral:rRNA from 1 species
UUCGGAUUGUAAACUCCUGUCAUGCGUGAACAAGGCAGCCUGGUUAAUAGCCGGGCUGAUUGAUGGUAACGCAAGAGGAAGAGACGGCUAACUCUGUGCCAGCAGCCGCGGUAAUACAGAGGUCUCAAGCGUUGUUCGGAAUCACUGGGCGUAAAGGGUGCGUAGGUGGCGUGGUAAGUCAGAUGUGAAAGCCCGGGGCUCAACCUCGGAACUGCAUCCGAUACUGCCAUGCUAGAGAACUGAAGAGGAGUGUAGAAUUCUCGGUGUAGCAGUGAAAUGCGUAGAUAUCGAGAGGAAUACCAACGGCGAAGGCAGCACUCUGGGCAGUUUCUGACACUGAGGCACGAAGGCUAGGGGAGCAAACGGGAUUAGAUACCCCGGUAGUCCUAGCAGUAAACGGUGCACGUUUGGUGUGGGGGGAUUCGACCCUUUCCGCGCCGGAGCUAACGCGUUAAACGUGCCGCCUGGGAAGUACGGUCGCAAGAUUAAAACUCAAAGAAAUUGACGGGGACCCGCACAAGCGGUGGAGUAUGUGGCUUAAUUCGAUGCAACGCGAAGAACCUUACCUGGUCUUGACAUGCACUGUGUCGUCGGUGAAAGCCGGCUAGUCCCGCAAGGGACGCUUUGCACAGGUGCUGCAUGGCUGUCGUCAGCUCGUGUCGUGAGAUGUUGGGUUAAGUCCCGCAACGAGCGCAACCCC